GCUUUCGUCGUUCAAUGGAUAGGACAUUCCCCUGCGAAGGGAAAAAUUCUGGUUCGACUCCAGACGAGAGCA
rnacentral:tRNA from 1 species